rnacentral:lncRNA from 1 species
UAAUCACGACGAACAAGCUCAACUUCUUCCGGCUUUAUUUUGUUGUGAAUGUCCUGAAGUAUAAUCAGGAAGGGAAGGUGAAUAAUUAGUUUUGAUACAUUCUAAUUCUAGGACAGGGCAUGUUUCAAGCAUUAAUAAUGAAAUCCACUUACUUGGAUUCCAGCUUCACGUGUUCGAACAUCUCGACAUUUCAAGCCCAAAUCUUCCAUCCGAGCCAAUGCUAGCUCCCGCAGAUUCCCUUUCUCAACCCCAGAAGUUACCAGAGGCAUAGGGAUAUCACGCUGAACUCUAUAGACACGUGUCCAUGGGGGAACCAUUGCCAAGAUCCUAGCUACAAUGUCAACAAGCUGCUCAGGUGGAUAAUUCCUAUACCUGCAAGUAGUGUAACCCUUCAAAAGGCAGUUUUAAACCAAAGGUAUCAUAAAACCGUAGAGCUUGAAUACCCGUGCUUAGAAUACUGCUCAUACAGUAAGCAAGAGAUUUUCCUUUUCCUUUUCCUUCUUCAUAUUGCUUUCACAAAAACAGUUUGCUUGGAAUGAAGAUGAAACUUCGGACACUGGCACUCUUAAUACAAAAAGGAAAUUCUCAACAGUUCAAAACCAUGGUAGAAAGGAGAAGACGAUGAAAUAGUCAACUAGUACACUAGUGCUGACC